rnacentral:rRNA from 1 species
AGUGAACGCUGGCGGUAGGCCUAACACAUGCAAGUCGAACGGCAGCACAGUAAGAGCUUGCUCUUACGGGUGGCGAGUGGCGGACGGGUGAGGAAUACAUCGGAAUCUACUUUUUCGUGGGGGAUAACGUAGGGAAACUUACGCUAAUACCGCAUACGACCUACGGGUGAAAGCAGGGGAUCUUCGCACCUUGCGCGACUGAAUGAGCCGAUGUCGGAUUAGCUAGUUGGCGGGGUAAAGGCCCACCAAGGCGACGAUCCGUAGCUGGUCUGAGAGGAUGAUCAGCCACACUGGAACUGAGACACGGUCCAGACUCCUACGGGAGGCAGCAGUGGGGAAUAUUGGACAAUGGGCGCAAGCCUGAUCCAGCCAUACCGCGUGGGUGAAGAAGGCCUUCGGGUUGUAAAGCCCUUUUGUUGGGAAAGAAAAGCAGCAGGUUAAUACCCCGCUGUUCUGACGGUACCCAAAGAAUAAGCACCGGCUAACUUCGUG